rnacentral:rRNA from 1 species
UACGUAGGGUGCGAGCGUUGUCCGGAAUUAUUGGGCGUAAAGAGCUCGUAGGCGGUUUGUCACGUCUGCUGUGAAAUCCCGAGGCUCAACCUCGGGCCUGCAGUGGGUACGGGCAGACUGGAGUGCGGUAGGGUAGAAUGGAAUUCCUGGUGUAGCGGUGGAAUGCGCAGAUAUCAGGAGGAACACCGAUGGCGAAGGCAGUUCUCUGGGCCGUAACUGACGCUGAGGAGCGAAAGCGUGGGGAGCGAACAGG